AUUGAACGCUGACGGCAUGCCUUACACAUGCAAGUCGAACGGCAGCAUGGAGAGCUUGCUCUCUGAUGGCGAGUGGCGAACGGGUGAGUAAUGCAUCGGAACGUACCGUGUAAUGGGGGAUAACGUAGCGAAAGUUACGCUAAUACCGCAUACGACCUGAGGGUGAAAGCAGGGGAUCGCAAGAACUUGCGUUAUACGAGCGGCCGAUGUCAGAUUGGCUGGUUGGUGAGGUAAAGGCUCACCAAGGCGACGAUCUGUAGCGGGGCUGAGAGGAUGCUCCGGCUCACUGGGACUGAGACACGUCCCAGACUCCGACGGUAGGCAGCAGUGGGGAAUUGUGGACAAUGGGGGCAACCCUGAUCCAGCCAUGCCGCGUGAGUGAAGAAGGCCUUCGGGUUGUAAAGCUCUUUCGGCCAGGAAGAAAUCGCACAGGCUAAUACUCUGUGUGGAUGACGGUACCGGCAUAAGAAGCACCGGCUAACUACGUGCCAGCCGCCGCAGUAA
rnacentral:rRNA from 1 species